GGGUCUGUCUCAAAAUGAGUGAAAUAAGAGGUGGUUUGACUGAGACAGAUCACAUUCCUGUCACAGAAUUAGUGAAAUACAAUCUCACAGGAUAUUUACAGCGGAAGGGCUGGGAUGAUGUUUCCCAUAAGGUGUGGAAACAACGCUCACAGACUCAAAAUCCGAGGACAACUCAGCAGGACUGAGAUGAGGAGAAAUUUCCUCACCCAGAGUGCAGUGAAUCAUUGCAAUUAUCUCCACAAGGUUUCUAAAUUGAAUAGACAUAUCCAGGGGCUCAGCGGUGAUGGAAAGUUGUAGGAAAGUGGUGCUGAGGUCAAAAGUCAAGCAUGUUCUGAAGGGCAGAAGAGGAGCAAGGGGCCGAAUGGCCACACCUUCUCUAUUUCUUAUUUUCUGAAACACGAGUUUACCUUUGCGCCUCACUGUUUCUUGCCCAGUCAGGGAGCGCUGAGAGCAGCGGACAUCUAUCGGCAGCCGCUGCGGUUAUUUCAUGUUCUCAUUAUUUAUUUGCAUUGGAGAAUUUUGCUGUCUUCUGCACUCUGGCUGAUGUUUCAGUGAUCCAGAUAUAGUUACCAUUCUGUAGCUUUGCUCUGUAUGUUUGUAGGAGUUGUAUGUGGCGACUUAUCUGUACUCUGACAAUAAAUUUUACUUUGAACUUUGAGCCUCGGGGAACUUGCUUUGUUUCUGAGAUCAAACCUUGACUGACUGCUCCAGAUCCCAGUAGCAGCCCGUCCUCAGACACACUCACCGCCAAUCAGAGAACACCACUGGGAGGAUCUUGCCGCCAUUGGCUGAGGAGUGUCAGUGGGCAGGGCGCUGGGCGGACCGAAGUUUGGAAUCGGGAACGAGUGGACCCGGUGAGAGACCCGAGAUUGGGAGCAGCUCCCCGGGUAAAGGCUGCAACAGCGGCCGGAGUUUUGAACCCUUCCGAUCGCGGAUGUGAAGAUUCGGGCGGAGAUUCCGUGAGAUGUUUCAGCCACACAGGGGGUGCCCGGUCUUUCCCCGCCGUGGGUCGGGGCCUGCCGUCGGGAGUUAACUCCUGCUGCUGGGAUCCGGGAGCUGGCCCACAACGUCUGCCGAUGGAACUCCGGUGCUGUGAGCGCUCCCCUGUGUUAAAGGACAGGCUGAAGGCCCAGGGAGAACCAGGCGCAAAGGCUGACUCCGGGAGGGAGACCAGACCUGUGCACAGUGUUCCAUGUACGCUCUCACCAGGACCCCAUAUACCUUCAGAGGAGAUCUUUAUUCUUCUAUUCAAACGUUCCUUCCCAUUCAAUGCUCUUCAUUUAAUAUCGAACUCAAACAGUGAACAGACACAACACAGCCUCAGCCAUGAUUUUAAAGGGCAGGUGUUGCAACAGUUUGAGCUUCAUACCGGGGCCACGGAGCAAGUAGGGUGUCACAAAGGGAGGAAUGUGGGAGUGUUGUAUGUCUGAGCCCAGCUGUGUGUGUUUGUUUAUCAGAAUCAGGUUUAAUAUCAUCCGCAUUUGUGGUGAAAUUUGAUCCUUUGUGUCUGCAGUACAUUGCAAUACAUAGUAAUAAAAACUAUAAAUUACAACAAGUAUUUAUAAAAUUAAAUUUGAAAUGUAGUGGCAAACGUGAGGGAAAAUACUGAGGAAGUAUUCUAGAAUUCAUUGUCCAUUUAGAAAUCUGACGGUGGAGGGAAGAAGCUGUUCCUGAGACAUUGUGUGUCUCUUCACGGUCCUGUACAUCCUCCUUGAUGGUAGCAAUGAGCCGAAGGCAUGUCCUGGGUGAUGAGGGUCCAUAAUGAUGGAUGCCACCUUUUUGUGGCAUCAUCUUUUGAAUGUGUCCUGGAUGCUGUGGUGUCCAGUGCCCAUGAAGGAGCUGGCUGAGUUUACAACUUUCUGCAGCAUUUUCCGAUCCUGUGCAGUGGCCUCUCCACACCAGGCAGUGAUGCAACCAGUUAGAAUGCUCUCCACAGUACAUCUGUAGAAAUUUGCAAGAGGCUUUCAUGACAGACCGAUUUUCCUCAAUAUCGGAAUGAAAAAUAGUCGAUCUUGUUCCUUCAUUGUAACUGCAUCAAUAUGUUGUGCCCAGGAUAGUUCCUCAGAGAUGUUGACAGGCAGGAAAUGGAAACUGCUCACCCUUUUCACUUCUGAUCCCACGAUGUGGACUGGUGUGUGUUCCCUCGACUUCCACUUCCUGAAUCCACAAUCAAUUCCUUUGUCUUCAUGAUGUUGAGUGCAAGGUUGUUGCUGUGACACCACUCAACUUGCUGAUCUAUCUCACUCCUGUACUCCUCCUCGUCACCGUCUGAAAUUCCACCAACAAUAGUUGGGUUGUCAGCAAGUUUAUAGAUGAGCCUAGACACACAGACGUGGUGUAGAGAGAGCAGAGCAGUGGGCUGAGCACGCAUCGGUGAGGUGUGCCGGAGUUGAUUGUCAGCAAGGAGGAGAUGUUAUUUCUGAUCCACACAGACUGGGGUCUCCUGGUGAGGAUCCAGUUGCAGAAGGAGGUACAGAGGCCCAGGUUUUGGAGCUUGUUGAUUACAAUUGAGGGUCUGAUUGUGUUGAACUCUGAGCUGUAAUCAGCAGCCUGACUUGUGUAUUGCUAUUGUCCAGGUGAUCGAAGGCUGAGUGGAGAGUCAGUGAGAUUGCAUUUGCUGUAGACAGAUUGUGGUGAUCGGCAAAUUGCAGUGGGUCCAGGUCCAUGCACAGACAGGAGUUGAUUCUAGUCAGGACCAACCCCCUCAAAGCUCUUCAUCACAGCUGUGUGUCUGUGUGUGUGUGUGCACGCUUGAAACAGUGAUCCCAGUUUGAUUCAGGAAUCUUUCCUGUAGCUGGGGUGUCCCGAAAGAGGGGUCAUUGUGAUGGGAUGACCAUUCUGAUCCGAGCCAAAUCAUUUAGCCAGUCGAUGCUGAACCUUUAGAAAUUACAAAGCGCAUGUGUGUUUGAGAGAGUAAUUUAAAUGUGGAAUUCAAAAUUUACAAAGUAAGUUUAUUAUCGAAGUUUACACAUGUCACCAUGCUCAAUCCUGAGAUUUUUAUUUCGGACAAACUCAGUAAAUCAAAGAAUCAUGAUUGAAUCAAUGAAAGCCCGAACCCAACAUUGGAGACAAAAUACAAUGUGCAAAAGACAACAAACUGUGCAAAUACAAAAGAAAAUAAAAUUAAUAAAUAAUUACCAUGAACAGGAGAUGAAGAAUCCGUGAAUGUGUCCAUGGGUUAUAGGAACAGUUCAGUGAUGGAGCAAUUGAAUUUGAGUAAGAUUAUCUCCUCUGUUUGAAGAACUUGAUGUUUGAAGGGUGAUAACAGUUCCUGAACCUGGUGGUGUGGGUCCUGAGACUCCUGCACUUUCUUCCUGAUGGAAUCAGUGAGAAGAGAUCAUGUGCCACAUGGUGGGUUCCUUGAUGACAGAUGUAGUUUUCCUAUGACAGCGCACCAAAGAAAUGUGCGCAGUGGGGGGAGUGUUUUUCCUGUGAUGUACUGGGCCAUAUCCACUACUUUCUGUAGGAUUUUCCUUUCCCGGGCUUUGGUGUUUCCAUACCAGGCAAUACUGUAAGCACUGAACAUAUUCUCCACACACAUCUGUAGAAGUUUGUCAAGGUUUUAGAGGUCAUGCUGAAUCUUUGCAGGCUUGUAAGGAAAUGGAGAUGUUGCUGUGCUUUCUUUGUAAUUGCACUUCCAUGCUGGGCUCAGGACAGAUCCUGGAAAGUGAUAACAUUGAGGAAUUUAAGGUUGCUGACCCUCUCCGCCUUUGAUCUCUGAUGAGGAAUGGCUCACAGUUCUCCUGUUUCCUCCUCCUGAAGUCAAAUAAUCACCUCCUGGCUCUUGCUGACGUUAAAUGAGAGGUUGCUUUAAGACCAUGCGAUAUAGGAGCAGAAUUAGGCCAUUCGGCCCAUCGAGUCUGCUCCACCAUUUCAUUUUAGCUGACCCAAUUUCCCUCUUGGUCCCAAUCUCCUGCCUUAUCCUGGUCGCCCAUCAUGCCCUGACCAAUCAAGAAACUAUCAACCUCGGCCUUAAAUGUACAUGAAGAUUUGGCCUCCACAGCUGCCAAAGAUACAUUAUCCAUAGAGUCCAUGGAUUCAUUACUCUCUGGCUAAAUAAGUUCCUCCUCAUCUCCAUUCUAAAGACACCCCUCUAUUCUGAGGUUGUGUCCUUUGGUCUUAGACUAUCCCAAAAGAGGAAACAUCCUCUCCAUAUCCACUCUAUUAAUCCUUUCACUAUUUGAUAUAUUUCAAUUAGGUCUCCUCUCAUUCUUUUGAAUUCCACUCACUACAGGCCCAGAGCCAUCAAAUACUCUUCAUAUGACAACAUAUUUAAUUUUGGAAUCAUUUACGUGAACCUCUUUUGGAUACUCUCCAGUUUCAGCACAUCUUUUUUCUCAGAUAAGGAGUCCACAACUGCUCACAGUACUCCCACUGAGGCCUCACCAGUGCUUACAAAAAUGUCAACAUUACAUCCCUGUGUUUAUAUUCUAUUCCUCUUCAAAUGAAUGCUGACAUUACAUUUGCCUUCUUCACCACAGACUCAAUCUGCAAAUUGGAAAAUAGUCAGCCCUGUCAUUUCUUCGACCAAAGUGCAUGCUGAUACCCUCUGCUGACACUGCAUUCCAUCUCCCACUUCUUUGCCCAUUCUCCUCAUCUGUUGAAGACCUUCCAUAGCCCCUCCAUGUCCUCAAAACAACCUGACCCUCAACCAUCUUCAUAUCAUCUGAAAACUUUGCAGCAAGGUCAUCAAUUUCAUCAUGCACAUCAGUGAUAUUUAACAUAAAGACUAUCAGUCCCAACACAGACUACUGUGGAACCCACUCGUCAAGAGGCUCCCUUUGUACCCAUUCUUUGCUUCCUCUCAGUCAGCCACGGCUUUGUCCAUGCUGGAAUCUUUCCGGUACUACCAUGGGCUCGUGGGUUGUUAAAGCAGCCUCAUGUGUGGCAUCCGCUCAGAAGCCGUCUGAAAAUCCAGGUAAACACCAUCAAUCGAUUCUCCUUUGUCUGUCCUGUUUGUUAUUUCUUAAAAUAAUUUCAACAGGUUGGUCAGGCAAGAUUUUCCCUUCAGGAAAACAUGCUGACUGUGGUCUAUUUUAUCUUGUGACACGGUACUCUCAGACCUCAUCAUUAAUAAUCGACUCCAACAUCUUCCCAAUCACUGAAGACAGACAAACUGGCCGAUAGUUUCCUUUCUUCUGCCUCUCUCCCUUCUUGAAGAGUGGUGUGACAUUGGCAAUUUUCCAUUCUUGCUGAAUUCUUCAAGAAUCUUGUGAUUGUUGAAUGUUCAUUACUAAUGGCUCCACAAUCUUUUUAGCCACCUCUUUCGAAACGCUGGGGUGCACACCAUCUGAGUCACGUGACUUAUCUAACUUGGCCUUCCAGUUCCUCAAGAACCUUCACUCUGGUUCUGGUAACUUUGUACACUUCUGACUCCUGACACCCGGAAGUCCCACCAUUAUGCUGGUGUCUUCCUCUGUGAAGACAGACACAACACAUUUAUUCAGUCUGUCUGCCAUUUCUUUGACUCCCGUCACUGCCUCUGCAGCAUCGUUGUCCAGCCGCCCUAGACGUUUUAUUCGAUAAAAAGUGGGGUGCAAGUGCUUUAAUUGGGCAAGAAUGUUGCACCAACACACCAGACAAAACUGAAAAUGUAACUCACCUGAUGGAAUAUAUUUGAGAGGCAGCAGAUAGAAUGAGAGAAGUGGGAGAGCAGUCCCACAAUGAUAACCCCUCAGUAAGUCAGUGGCCAUGUGGGACUCUGGGACGAUGGUGGGAUACUGGUUUACAUUGUACAGUUCCACAAUGAUAACCCCUCAGGAAGCCGGUGGCCAUUUGGGACUCUGGGAGGAUGGUGGGAUACUGGUUUACAUUGUAGAGUUUAUCAAUCAUAACCCCUUAGGAAGCUGGUGGCCAUUUGGGACUCUGGGAGGAUGGUGGGAUACUGGUUUACAUUGUACAUUUCCACAAUGAUAAACCCCCAGGAAGCUGGUGGCCAUUUGGGACUCUGGGAGGAUGGUGGGAUACUGGUUUACAUUGUACAUUUCCGCAAUGAUAACCCCUCAGGAAGCCGGCGGCCAUUUGGGACUCUGGGAGGAUGCUGGGAUACUGGUUUGCAUGAUGGAAUAACCAUUGGAGCAAUAAUAAUACAAACAAUCUGAUUAUGAUUCUCGUGCUCAGUCGGGAGUCUGAAAAGGAGGAGAUAUCAGGGUUCUGGCUCCUCAUGGGGAAUGGACGGGGAAAAGAAAGCCCUGAGAUCUGAAGUAUUUUCACUUUAAAGACAUCAUUCACUUCGUAAGUUCUGAUAAUAUUGGAUGUCUGUUGUCAUGGGACAACAAAGAGGAGGGAAUGGGGAAAUAUGUACUGAACUUUGCAUUUUAUUGUAAGUAUCUGAUGAGACAAAAUAAAGUUCUACAAACCCCGGAGUGCUGAGCUAGUAUAUGCGAUAUAUGUAGGUGACUAAAGUAGCAGGAGGAAACGACAAGAAAUGUGCUUACUAAAGAUCUCGUGACUGCGAACACUGAACGCUGUGCAGGAAUGAGGAAGUAACAGAGACGACUCAACCGGAGAUGGCAGUAUCAACAAACGUAUCGGGAACACGGAGCUCGCUGGGAACAGUAACCUCGACUCGUUCUUAUGUACAGAAGGAAUAUUUUGUAAACGUUGUGUUUGAGGUCCCCUCCCAUCCCUGGUGAGAAUGGAGGUGAAAUUACCCCCGGCAGGUAAUAAAGAAUAAAGCUGCUUGAUGAAGAAACACUCAGUGUUGGGAUUGCGUUCUGUGAGUCUCAGCAGAGAGAUACUUGACAGGGGGUUAAGGGUGAAAGGUGGGGAGUUUAUGGGGCACAUGAGGGGAUACCUCUUCACUCAGAGGGUCACACACCCACAAAACGUCUCCCCCCCGAAUGAGACGGAGCCCAAAUGGCGGGUCCCUCAAAUGAGCUGCUGCCAACCGGAGACCGGGGUCUUCGGGCUGGUUUGUUGCCGCCAGAGAACAUGAUGUGUGCCCCUAGUGAUGGACACACUGACGGUAGAUGUCGGCGAUUGAAAGCCCGUGUUUCCCUGCACCCGCCCCCCGCCCCCCCGGAUCCAGCCAGUCUCGUUCCCCCUGGGAGAUGAAAGAGUAAGUAAAUUCAUCCGCUUACAACUGGACAAUGAUGUUAAUUAUUUGGAGAAUGCAGUUCAAACAAUUAGUGAGGUUGUGGAUGUCACCAAAACCGGUGUGUGGAGAAAGUGAGGGUUGUCUAAGGUUCCAGUGGGAUCGAGACCAGUUGGGAAAGUGGGCCGAGGAAUUGCAGGUGGAUCUUAGCUGUCACUCAGAAACAGUUCUUCAGGGGGUCAAAGACGACUGAGACACGAAAGAGAGCUUUUCUUGGGCUCUGGGUUCAAACAGACAAGACUGGUGCACUCGUUCAUCUCGUUUGAAGGUACCACGGCAGAAUAAAAGUUGUUGCUCCGCCACCCUGAGGGUGCAGUCAUCAAUUAGGAGCAACUUCGCACCAUCCUCCACAAGUGUGACUUACCUGUCAGCAAGCAUUUUAAUUCUUCAUUCCCAGUCCUGUUCCGCCGUGUCGAUCCAUGGACUCCUCUUGUGCCAAGAUGAGCUCCCAUCCCCCCACCCCAGGGUGGUGGAGCAACACAUUAUAUUCCGUCUGGGUACCCUCCAACCUGACGGCAUGAACAUCGAUUUCCCCUCCUGUGAAUAAAUUACCGUCACCCUCCUCUAUGCCCCACUUUGACCUUGUACUUCUCACCUUCCUACAUUCCUCCCGGGACCCUCCUCCUGCCCUCUCUCUGGUCCACUCUCCCCUCCUAUCAGAUUCUUUAUUCUCCAGCCCACCCUUUCUUGACCUUCCCCACCCACCCGGCAUCAAAUUCCAGCUCGCCUCUUCCCCUCCCCCACCAUAUUUCUAUUCUGGCACCUUCCCCUGUGCUUCUCUGCCCUGCAGAAGGCUUUCUGCCAAAAAACGCCGUCUGUUCAUAAUUUUCUACAGAUGCUGCCUGAGGUGCUGAGUUCCUGCAGCGUUUUGUGUGAGUCGCCUUGAAUUUCCAGCAUUUGCAGACUUUCUCCUGUUAGUUCCAGAAAUCGCCGUCAGCGACCAGGCGCACAAAUGCGCAUGCGUAAGGGUCGCGGGCGUUUCGCGCGUGCGCACGGUGGACAAAAAGCUCGGAGACUCGGCGGCAGAACGUAUGGACCGAGCAUUUGUCUGAAAGUUAAAUGUUUAAACAUCAUGAAAACAGCACGGCAUCAACAAAACACCAGCUGUGCAGCAGCAAAGGCUGUCUGUGUGGGAACAUUUCAGUUACUGCGCAGCUCGGAAUAAUAUGGGACAGAGAAUAAUACUAAUGGAAGGAAUCAGACUGAGCUAAGUCACAGAUUGAAAUUCCCAUUCUCACACAGACAGGAAAACUGUUGGGGAAUUACAUGGACAGACCAGUUGCCGGCAUCAUGAGCAGUUGGAAGGAGAGUUUUUCCCCCAACUUGGGUUGAUCCUCGCUGUAACAGUGUGAUGUCAGAGUUCAGAAAGGAGAUUAAAAUUAUUUCAUAAUAUAUCGGCUGUGAAAAUUAAUCAGAUACAGGAGCAGAAUGAGGUCGUUUCGCCCAUCGAGUCUGCUCCACCAUUUCAUUACAGCUGAUCCAUUUCCAACUCAGCUGCACUCUCCUGCCUUCUCCCCAUAUCCCUUCCUGCCCUAACUAAUCAAGAAUCCAUCACCCUCUUCCCAAAAAUAGACCCAAUUACUUGGACUCCAGAGCAACUCAUAGCAGCAAAUCCCACAGAGUCACCACGCUCCAGUUAAAGAAAUUCCUCCUCAUCUCCUUUCUGAAAGAACAAAGCUCGAUUUUGAUGCUGCGUCCUCUGGUUUUCGACUCCCCCACUCUUGUCAACAUACUCUCCACAUCCACUCUAUCGAGACUUUUCAAUGUUCGAUAGAUUUCAAUGAGGGCCCCUUCAUUAUUCUGAACUCCAGUGAGUAGAGGCCCCGAGCCAUCAAAUGUUCUUCAUCAGACAAACCUUAUAAAUCCUGAAAUAUUUUUGUAAAUUUCCUUUGAACGCUCUGCAAUGUAAGUACAUCUGUUCUACUUAAGGAGCCUGAAUCUGCUCUCAACAGUCCAAGUGAGGCCACACUUUAUAAAUACUCAACAAUACAUCCUUGCUUUUAUAUUCUCCUACUCUUCAACAUUAUUUCCUCUCUAUUGAGAAAACAGUCUGCACUCUCAUUGCCUCUAACAAAGUGGAUGACCAUACACUUCUCUGAAUGAUGACUUUCAUUCAUUGAUGUC